UUGAUCCCACCACCUCCUCCAACCAUUCCACCCCAUGUAAAGCCAGGAGUCCUGACUUCUCCCAAGUAUUCUAUUACGAGUAGGAAACAAUUGCUUGCAAACCACGUCAAACUCACUGUGAAAGCUCCAGAUUGUGUAUUCUACCAAUAUUCUGUAUGUCUACCUCAUGUUCAUAUUACUUCUGAAAACAAGAAGGCCGCUCAAGGCAAGGG
rnacentral:lncRNA from 1 species